UGAAGCAGGUAAUAAAAGCAAUGGAAGUAAAGUCAAGAUGAAAAGUUCAUGCAAACGAAAGGUGAAACGGGAUUAAAGGCCAAACCUUGUUCUCAUCAUAUUUCUGCAUCUUUACCAUCCAUAGAGCUUGUUGGCAUCGUCUUCAUCCUCAUCAUCAUUUUGGUCUUCCUUUUCAAAGUCAGUUUAACAAAAAAACAACAACUGAGAAAGCAAACAGUAGGAGUCUCUUUACCUGAUCGGAUACCUUUUUGCUGCCUUUGAUGGUUCCUUUUUUUGGGGCGGUUUUCGUGUCCUUUUCAGGAUCCUUUGGGUUGCUGUUUUGCUGGACAUUGUACCUUUCAAUGGACCUUUGAAUAUGUGUACAAAAAAGCGCAAUGUACAACAUGGGGAUAACAUAUGUCAUCUGCAUUUGUACAUUUUCCCUCAUUGAACAUUGAACGUUUAAAGCCAGUGACAAACCUAAAUGGACAGUUACUCAUGUUGCCCUUUUCAUUUGUUGGUUUUGUUGAACCUGAAAAGACUCAACCGCCCAACACCGAGACAGACGUUGAAAAGACACCAAAGAAAAAGGGACAAAAAAUGGAGCAAACGUUUUGUCAUCUCAAUGGAGGAAAUGAUAUUAAAAAGAUAAUACUUUAAUGUAUAUAAAUGGAAAGCUAUUUGGUUCAAUUUAUGCCCCAAAAUUUCAACUCUUAUUACUCCAUUUAAAAUGUGUUAUCUGAUCCAUUUCCUGGAAUCUCAUGAAAUCUGAACACUAUGAAUGAACAAACAAAAGGAUAAACAAAGACCAUUUAUUUACUUUCACUUUGCUUUCUUUCCAUUGGAAGCUCAAGUUUGAAGAAUGCAAAAAUAUUAUUUCGCCAAACGUUCAUCUGUUGGAAAUAAAAGUUUCAAUUGGCCAAUAAUAUUGACAAUUAUUGUCGUUACAAUCUAAUGGUUUUUCAUCAGAUUUGCUUUUUUUUAUUCCAACCAAGAGAAUACAAAAAAGUAGCCAUAAAUUCUGUGUCUCUGAAUAUCAAUUUGACCAAUAAAAUAGUCUAUUGAUAUACAAUUAAUUCAAACCACAGAACCGCUUUUAAAGCACAAAGUCAGAUUUUAUCUGAAAAGAUUUUAUCAGUCAAACCGAAAGAUUGAGCGAUAAAAUUUGCAAAAAUUGAAAAUAAUACAGCCAUUUUAGAGGAUAAUAAUGAUAACAAUAUUAUCGCAAUCACAAGAUUAUAAUCAGCAUUUAACAAGAUUUAAAAGUUCCUAUUGAGUUGACUAAACUUGAAGGUAAAGGCAUCAAGACAAUGGAAUUGAUAUUUUACCAGACAAAAAUGUUAAUGUAAUAUUAAAAAUAAACCUCAGAAUGUAAAAAAUUUCAUCCAUUUUCUGUAAUAUCAUCU